rnacentral:rRNA from 1 species
GCGAAUUCCGUGUCAGGGGCGGGGGGAAGAAGGGGGUUCCAAGAGUGAUCAGGAAACAUUGGGUUUAAAUGUGCCGUAGGCGGCCUUAUAAGUCAGUGGUGAAAUCUCCUAGGUCAACUAGGAAACUGCAAUUGAUACUGUAGGGCUUGAAUUUUGGUGAAGUAACUAGAAUAUGUAGGGUAGCGGUGAAAUGCUUAGAUAUUACAUGGAAGAGCAAUGGCGAAGGCAGGUUACUAACAAACGAUUGACGCUGAUGGACGAAAGCGUGGGGAGCGAACAGGAUUAGAUACCCUUGUAGUC